rnacentral:rRNA from 1 species
GAUGAACGCUGGCGGCGUGCUUAACACAUGCAAGUCGAACGAUGAAGGGGGAGCUUGCUCCUCUGGAUUAGUGGCGAACGGGUGAGUAACACGUGAGCAAUCUGCCCCUGACUCUGGGAUAAGCGCUGGAAACGGCGUCUAAUACCGGAUACGAGCCGAGCAGGCAUCUGCAUCGGUUGGAAAGAACUUCGGUCAGGGAUGAGCUCGCGGCCUAUCAGCUUGUUGGUGAGGUAAUGGCUCACCAAGGCGACGACGGGUAGCCGGCCUGAGAGGGUGACCGGCCACACUGGGACUGAGACACGGCCCAGACUCCUACGGGAGGCAGCAGUGGAGAAUAUUGCACAAUGGGCGGAAGCCUGAUGCAGCAACGCCGCGUGAGGGACGAAGGCCUUCGGGUUGUAAACCUCUUUUAGCAGGGAAGAAGCGAGAGUGACGGUACCUGCAGAAAAAGCACCGGCUAACUACGUGCCAGCCGCCGCAGUAA